UGUAUCAAGAUCAUAACGAGACAAAUCUCCAGUAAUACUCAUGUGCUGACAUAUUCUUUUGCUUUAAUCGAGUGAAUUCCUGCUUCUUGCGAUCAAUGUACUCUGGAGGGACAAAUCUUUUCUUAAAAUGUUCCUUAAAUACUUCCCAAUCAGCUGCCAUCUCAGGGAACAUAAACUGAGUUUGAUUUUUCCAUCAACCUGCCGACUUUCGUCCCAAAAACCAAGUAGUGGUCUUAACCCAUCUAUUAGCAGGAAAGUUUCCUUGACUCUGCAUCACCUGGAAAGUCAUCUCAAUAUGGUCUAGCCAUUUUUCUGCCCCUUCAUGACCUUCAUUACCCAUGAAACGAUCCAAUUUCAGAUUAUACAUAGUCUCCAAGGGUGUCCUCUGAGAAGGAGGACGACAAAUUGCAUUCUGAAAGGCCUGGGCCAUCGCUUCCCCUAACUGAGUUAUAUCGGGGAAAUUAGGUUUAGAAGCACGGCGUGACUCCCUACGAGGCGACAUAAUUCUGACAGAAAACAUCAAAAGAUCAGUAGAGCAUUAACAAUUAUACAGGACUGCAACCUAGGCUCUGAUACCAAACUGACAUACCCCAAUC
rnacentral:lncRNA from 1 species